rnacentral:lncRNA from 1 species
GGCAGGGGAGCCGCGCUGGCCAGGGCCGGCGGGGAAGCACCGCCGGCGUGACGAUAAGCGAAAAUACACUUAAAAGCGAGAGGCGGAGGUCGCGGCGGGGGUGUCGUCGUUAUGCGAGGGCUGCGCCCUAGGGGAAAGGGGUGUUUAACUCUCUUUUUUUUUUUUUCGGUCUUUUUUGGAGCACGCCAUGCCCUGUUGUCCAAACCAGGCUGUGUCUGCGCCGCUUAGAGCCAGGCGAGGCACACGGGUUCCCAAAGGGUUUGGUAGAUCAGGCCGCAGGAGCAUCAGGAUUGCCUGUUCUGCAGGUACAGGAAGGAUCCUGUGAUGCUUAUUUUACACGAGAGUGGGAGAUUUUCAUGGUGCCCUCAUUCACGAUUCCCCCCUGUACUGCUCUGAAACGUCAGACUAUCUCCAGGACAACAGAGAGGCUAUAUUGCAGGCCACUUGAUCAUUCAUUACCUACCUCCAUGGAAGUUGCUAAAUAAUGGCUGGUGUUUCACUAGAGCAGUUGGCAUCUUUCCUCACUGAGUACACAAAACCUCAGUUUUUCAGAGGUAACUUCCUGAACUGGACACUUGGGUGUUGAAAUUCUUUGUGUAAGGCUGCUGUUUGAAGUUCUUCAUUUUUUAAGUUUGCAAAGAGGAAAAUUAUCAGUUUUUCCUGUGAAGUAAAAAAAAAAAAAAAGUAGAGGAACGUCUCCUAUUAUUAAAAAAAAAAAAAAAACUUUCCUUGAGAUGGCCUGCUGCUAAAACUGGCAAGGUUAAAAACGAAUAUGUCAUAGGCCUAGCCUUCCACCUCUGCUUUUCUGGAAUCUGGAUUUCAUUUGUGUAAGUUCAGAGCCUGGAAAGUCACUUACUGAGUGCACACAUGCAGUAUUUUUAAACUUGUAAAGUUUACAGCUUGGUGUAAUGUUAUCCCAGAAGGAUCCCACCACAUGUUUGUUUGCCUAGACAAGCUAUGAGGUGAAAUAUAUAGCUAUGGCCCCAGUAAGAUGCACAAAAUUGGAAUGCAGAGUUCUCCGUUGCCUUGUGUGAACGUGGUCUUAUCUAAAGCUUUCUCAUCUGUAAUGGGCAAUCAACUGUGAAGCACUUGGAACUUAUGAAAUAUAAACGAGUUUCUGUGCAGGCAUUUUUUAGAUCCAUAAAUAGAUGCCAUCAUGUCGCCUAGCAAGGGUACGUGAUACAGCAGGAAAACACACAGAAACCCUGUAAAUGCUGUCAGAGGAGAGAAUGUGAAAGUUUAGUACUCUAAGGUAUCCAAAAUUCUCUUAGUACUACAGGAAUAGUAGUAAAAAUAAAGCCCUGAAUUGAUUUAACUGUAUUUGCCA